CCGGACCUGGCGCGGCCCGUGAGGGGGCCGCGAGGAGAGGCCAUUGUGGCGAGGGAGGCCUUGGGAGGUGGAGGAGCGAAGCGGCUGCCGCGGGACCCAAGCGCCGAGCCUCAAGAGCAGACGAUCUUGAAAACUGUGCCAGGUCCUUGGGGGAAAAAAAACUACAUGACACUGCAACAUGAGUGACGGUAAAUGUGAUAGUCAGUUUUACAGUGUUCAAGUCGCAGAUUCCACAUUCACUGUACUAAAACGGUACCAACAAUUGAAGCCCAUAGGAUCUGGGGCUCAGGGCAUUGUUUGUGCUGCAUUUGAUACAGUCCUUGGGAUAAAUGUUGCCGUAAAGAAGCUGAGUCGUCCUUUUCAGAACCAAACACAUGCAAAAAGAGCUUACAGGGAGCUUGUUCUUUUAAAAUGUGUCAAUCACAAAAACAUAAUUAGUUUGUUAAAUGUAUUCACACCGCAGAAAUCACUGGAAGAAUUUCAAGAUGUGUAUUUGGUUAUGGAACUGAUGGAUGCUAAUUUGUGCCAGGUUAUUCAUAUGGAGUUGGAUCAUGAAAGAAUGUCCUACCUUCUCUACCAGAUGUUGUGUGGUAUCAAACAUCUCCAUUCAGCUGGUAUCAUCCACAGAGAUUUGAAACCCAGCAAUAUAGUAGUAAAAUCAGACUGUACACUCAAAAUCCUUGAUUUUGGACUGGCAAGAACAGCAUGUACUAAUUUUAUGAUGACUCCGUAUGUAGUAACACGGUAUUACAGAGCACCGGAAGUUAUCCUCGGCAUGGGAUACAAAGAGAAUGUUGAUAUCUGGUCAGUUGGGUGCAUCAUGGGAGAAUUGGUGAAAGGUUGUGUGAUAUUCCAAGGCACUGAUCAUAUUGAUCAGUGGAAUAAAGUUAUUGAACAGUUAGGAACACCAUCAGCAGAUUUUAUGAAGAAACUACAGCCUACUGUGAGGAAUUAUGUAGAAAACAGACCAAAAUAUCCGGGUAUCAAAUUUGAAGAGCUCUUCCCAGAUUGGAUAUUUCCAUCGGAGUCUGACCGUGACAAAUUAAAAACAAGUCAAGCUAGAGAUUUAUUAUCAAAAAUGUUGGUAGUAGACCCAGACAAACGAAUUUCUGUAGAUGAAGCCUUACGAGAUCCAUAUAUCACGGUCUGGUAUGAUCCAGCUGAAGCGGAAGCACCUCCUCCUAAAAUCUAUGAUGCACAGCUGGAAGAAAGAGAACAUGCCAUUGAAGAAUGGAAAGAAUUAAUAUACAAAGAAGUAAUGGAUUGGGAAGAAAGAAGCAAGAAUGGUGUGGUAAAAGAUCAGCCCUCAGAUGCAGCAGUGAAUAGCAACACCAGUCCUUCCCAGUCAUCAUCGAUCAAUGACAUUUCAUCCAUGUCAACUGAGCAAACGUUGGCUUCAGAUACAGACAGCAGCCUUGAUGCCUUGACAGGACCCCUUGAAGGAUGCCGAUGAUCAGCCAGGAUUGCAGACUUAACAUUGGAAAAAAAACUCGUUUCCAUUGGCCUGAAUUGCUUCGGCACUUUGGCAGCAGCUCAAAGACAAAGAGACGGACUGAGGGAUCCGCCACCGAAUUCCCAACAAAGACCAGGACGGCCGCUCCAACAGGGAUGCAAGAGGAGGAGGAUUUGGGUCUUAAAGCUCUGUGAAACCUACCAUUAAAACAACAGAAAACCUUUUCCCCUCUUCUGAUUUUACAGACAUCAAAAGGGCAGAACUCUGUUCUUUUUGUUCAGGAUGCCUUUUUGGGGAAGUGAGGGAGUGUCUUAUUUUCCAGUGGGAUCUGCAUCGUAGCCAUUUCAUUUCUAUACCUAGCCAGCCAUGAUCACUGCAGCUAAACUAUAGUGAAAUGGGUACCCAGACACUCAUCCUUGCUCUGCAGAACUAUUGGCAUUUGCUGUGGUACCGGGCUAUUGACAGCCAUUGUAUAAGAGAGCAACUGUAUAUGCAAGACAAUAAAUGUCUCGAUUUUCUAGCUUCAAUUUUGCAUGAGAGGGAGAGAAGGACGUUGUCAGUUUCACUGAGCUGUCAAUGGAUGAUCAGAAAUUAGAUGUGUUCUAUAAACUGCACCGUCUGGUGCUGGUGUAUGUGUGUUGGCGAAUGGAAAGCCAUCUUGGUCCCAUCCAGCUAACAGGUGAGAGUGACAGAGUGGCAACACAUGCAGCUUGCACAUUUUUACGGUUUAACAAAAGGAUCCUUACAAAAUGUACAGAAAUCUGGCUUGGUGUUUGCCUCUGUUCUUCCCUUCACUGCUUUUGACUUAAACAGUGGUUACUUGAUUGCUUUAAAGGAAGUUUAGGUUCUGGGUUUGCAACUUUUUGGGACCCACCAUUUUUUAAAUGUGUAACUGGCUAAAAUUGUUUCUUAUUCUUAGUUUUGUUAUUUAUAAAAUAACUCCUGCUGCAUUAGAACUGAGGAGCACAACCCAGAAAUGCAAAACUGCCUCUCCUGUGUUUAUUUUAUUGGAAACAGUUUUACUGUCAUUGCCAUUUAAUUUUUGUAUUAAUUAUGCAAACAUCGAAGGUGAGAAGUCAAAGUCAAUGUUGAGAAUUAAGCCAAUGCUAAGCAUUUCUGAAAAUCUCACUCUGUCUGCUUCAAAAGGCCAUUCUCUUUAACUCGGGCUUGGAACUCCUGUUGAUGGGAGCUACUGAAUGAAAAGAAAAGAUGAAAAGAAUCUUAAUGUCAGUUAAAAAAAAACAAUCAGACUCCUGUCACUUGAGUGAUGAUGCCAGCUUUAAAUACAGUCUAGACAUCUGAAGUAGUCAUCAGAAUGAUGUGACAUUAGUUCUGCAUUUCCAGCUAGCAGUUUCUUAAGUCCACUUUUAUUUAGAUCUCACUUUUCCCAGUAAUGUAUAACCUUGAAAUGUUCUAUUUUUCAGCAGGGAUAUAUAUAUUUUCCCCUCCUGCAUCUGAUUCUGCAAAACUGUAAUGUAGAGAAAGGAGAAGCCUUUUCUCUUGUCCCUUUUUGCUGAUUUCGGUUGUUUCCUUUCUCUGACAAUUUUUCUGUGCUGUGGGUAACCUCUUGUGUGAAGAACAAUGAAAAGCACAUUAAAAAAGAUCCUAUCUUAAUGCCAUUCAUCUUAUUACUGUUUCCUAAAAACUGGCAUCAGGUGUUUGCUGGUGCAGAGGAUAGUGGCUAAUGUGGCUGGACAGAUAGUAUUUUGCCUCCAAAGUGCUAUCAAUCAUAAGCAGAGCUGGUUGGAAAAGCAGAUUUGUUUGUGAAAUUUUCUGGCAGAAAAUUUAGUUCCUUUCUGUUUUGUUGUUUAUCUUGAAAUGUUUUGACCACCUCUAUAGCUGCUGUGGGGAAAGGGAUGAUUUUCUGCAAACAACGUACAGUAUCAUGUUAAUGUCGAAAAAUCACAAUUUGGAAUAUUUCAACCAGCUCUGGUGAGUCAAGAACGAAGAAUUUUGUUACAUGAGAUCAGGUCUCAUCUAGUCUAGUAUCUUGUUUUUGAUAGAGGUCAGCACCAGAUGCUUCAGAGGAAGAUCCAGGAAUCAUAGAAUAUCAGGGUUAGAAGGUACUUCAGGAGGUCAUCUAGUCCCUGGAAUAGGAUAAUUUGCCCAUAGAGGAAUUAUCUUCCACAUCUCUGUCAGCUGGUGGUCACCCAGGCCCUAUUGCAUGAAGGUUGAUACCCACCUCUUUUCAUCCUAAUGUAAUUUUGGAUAUUCUCUUUAUCCAAAUAAACACCUGAUUCUCUUAAAAAUCGUACUAAGCUCCUGGCCUCAGAAUGAGUUCCUCCACCAAUUACUUAUGCAUUGUGUAAAAAUGACAGACUCACAGAGCUUCAAUGGGGACUGUGAAGCUCUUGUUACUUAUUAGGCACAGCUGGUUGGAAUCAGACACUGAAUAAAGCAGAGCUCCUGCAACCACCUCACGCCAUGUGUGAUCGCUGAACACCACAUGAGAUCUGUAAGUCAGACACAUACAGCUAGCUGACACUGUGUGAAUGGCGGAAAUUUCCCACAGCCAAGGUGUAAAGUGAUGAGUAAAGAACCGAAGACAGAGCCCUGCGGUACCCCCAUAUACAGCAGGAGAGGAGAGAAAGAUCCACACAAAGAGCUGCUGAAGGAACAGCUGGAGGGAGAGGAAGAAAACCAGGAGAGGGCUGUUUUGAAAGCCUAGUGGGCCUGUAAUUAACAUAAAUUGUUAAAAACGGAUGACUGGUGUGGCAGAACUAUGGUUGCUUUGUUCAGUCUAAGAGCCCAGAUUAAUUUGAGGACAGCAUAAUAAAUGUCACGAAGGAAUGUUCUGGGGGCCAUUAGAGCUGGGCCAGAUUCAUUUAGCAGAUUGGCUAACUUUAUUGUGCCCCGGGAUGUAGACCGUUAGGCACUGAGUGCUGUAUUUCUCUGCAGUGCUUAGUGUAGAGGGAAGUGUGUUUUAUUUCUGUCCAGGCCAGAGGUGUGUGGCGGAGAGGCUCUAGUUUGUUGUUUAUGUAAAAUAGUCUAGGUAGUUUUGUUAGUUUUUUGUGUUACUUGCAGCAGCUACAGGCUCCAACUGCAUUCAGGACCUCAUUGUGCUAAGUGCUACACAAACACAUCAUGAGAGAGAGUCCCUCCCCACAAGAACUUGCAAUCUAAAUAGGCAACACAGAUGAAUGGGAGGGGAGAGGAAGCAGAGGCAAAGAG